GACGAACGCUGGCGGCAUGCCUAAUACAUGCAAGUAGAACGCAGUUGCGAACGGGUGAGUAACACGUAGGUAACUGCAUGGUAGCGGGGGAUGACUAUUGGAAAAGAUAACUAAUACCGCCUCCUACCAGAUGGACCUGCGUUGUAUUAGUUAGUUGGUGGGGUAACGGCCCACCAAGGCAACGAUACAUAGCCGAUCUGAGAGGGGUAUCCGCACAACUGGGACUGAGGCACGGCCCAGACCCCUACGGGAAGGAGGAGUAGGGAAUCUUCGGCAAUGGACGGAAGUCUGACCGAGCAACGCCGCGUGAGUGAAGAAGGUUUUCGGAUCGUAAAGCUCUGUUGUAAGAGAAGCGGUAUCUUACCAGAAAGGGACGGCUAACUACGUGCCAGCCGCCGCGGUAAUAC
rnacentral:rRNA from 1 species